CAGAUUGAACAGCAUAGAUAUCUUUACGUCAAACAAAUAAAAACAACAUAGCUAUCAAAAGGCGACCACCAUCACACAGUGCUGAUCGUGGCAGCGUCACUACAAGAAAUGCUACCCAAGGCUGAUGCCAGUAAGGCCCAAGCAGAUACAUGCCGCGCUGAUGAACAUGGAGACUCAGCGUUGCUUAGCAGACGCGCUAGACUCAGCGCUCUUUUUUCUCUUCUUCAGUAUCUCAACUUUGUCUUGUUUCCUUUCCUUGCCAAUCU
rnacentral:lncRNA from 1 species